CACAGUCGCGGCUAGUUUUGUUGGCUGAGGGUCUCCGGCGGCGAUUAAUUCGAUCAGAGUGAAAGUGAGAGGGGUCGUAUGGAAAAAUGACAUGUAUCAGGUUCGACGGUGUGUAUGGCAUGUAAUAAUCGUGUCGUAAGGUUUGGCCGGUGUCUCCCAUAAGCGACAGAUAAUGACCGAAGCGAUGCAAAGGUUAUGAAACGGUAACGUGAAUCUCCUUUACGUCAUCCGUCAAGGCCAUGGUCGCUUCUACGAGGUAACGAUGAAUGCUCCGGCUCUCCUUGAAGAGUUGCACGAAAAUCGCAGCGAUCAAGAGGUCGAUUCUACUAAAUAAUCGUUUUUGCUCGUUUAUCGAUCGGUUUCUCCGAUUUCGCCGACAGGAAAAUCGCGGAAACUUUCUCCAUUAAUAAGAUCGCUCGAACGAUUAUUAUCCUCAGAGAGCUUUCAUUUCAUAGGAAAAUUGAAACACAUUAUGGCGUUAUGUGUGCAUCGUACUUUCAAGGAAAAAAAUAUCUUGCAAAUCACUGAGUGAAAUCGUCGAAAUUACGAAAUGAUGAUUUCGAAUUAAGAAUGCAAUUGUAAUUUUUCACAAAAACGUUGCAUAUAUUAUAUGAUUUAAGCGAAAAACUCAGAUUUUUUAUAUGAGACAGGUUUUAUACAACUAUUAAUACAAGCCCAAAUGUUGUAAAUGUCGGCUUUUUUAUUCCAGAUAUACAUGAAGACUGUGAUUAAUUCGCAUAACAUGUAUAAACUGCUCAUGUAUCGUUUACAUUAUAUAUAAUAAUUCAUUUAUCGAAAUCAUUAUAACGCACGUCAAAAAGGCGUUCUCCUCGUGGCAGCUGGCUUUCCGCUUGCCGCGAAAAGAAAGCAAUAUUGCAUAAUGGAUAAAGAGAUAGUUGUCCAGCGACUAACGAAGGCGGUUGUAUAGUAUAAGACGUGUAACUCUCGCGAGUCAACCGGUCAGCUUAAGGAAAUCUGGAGCAGCCGCCACCGAGCGACAUUUUUGCAAAAUUUCAUGCGUGUGAGACACGACACACCGAUCAAUACGACUUCUGGCAUUCACAUCGCUAUUAACAGAUCUCUGAUUUUGCAACAGGGCGGUUUAAAGAAUGCACUUAUUUGCCCAUGUACUGAGUAUAUCUAUAAAACUUUUUAUGUUUCCAGUCGAAUCGCGAAUAGAAAAAGGCAUUCAGUGGAAUACAAUCUCUCAUUAAGGCUAACCGGACUAAAGAGUCAUAGAAAGGAAUGACUAUUGUAUGUUGUGUAUCAAGGUUAUAACUUUACAUAGGGUGAACGUAGCAAUUUUAAACAAGUCACUGUUUGAUCGAAUUUCUUAUCUCGGAUACGAUGAGAAAAUUAUCCUUUCUAAAAGGAAUAUAUUUCCAAAUAAUUUUACGUUUGCAGAAAUUGUGCUCAUGUUGCAUCGCAAAUUUACUAUAAACUAAUAUUCUAAUCGUAACAUUCCAAUAUUCUAGUUUCCCGACACGGUUUCUCUCACAUUUUGUAUAUCAACCGUUAAAUUGAUUCUCCGCGGUAUUUUAAUUAAGCUGAUUCGCGUACAUACAAAACGCAAAAAUUCGCUAAAAGAAAAAUUCGAACGGGCGCAACAGCGAGUUACAGAAGUACUUUCUCUCCGGCGGUAACAUUGUUUCGUGCCAAUGAUGGGGUGGGGAGCACCGUCAGUCUCGAGAGUUUUAUGAAAUUAACUCGGUCACGCACGGUGGAACAGGAAUUAUGACACGUGCCUGGCGAGCAGCCGGAGAGAACCGGUUGGCACUCCGCGAAAUCAUUCGCGAGCUUGGGGAGUUGCAAGAUAAGGAAGUCGAUCAUUUAAAUCGCGCUGCGUAUAUCCCGAUAGUCGAGUCAUUAACCCAAGAAUACCGAUAACAUUCUUAUAAUAUUCGCUCGAGCGUUAAAUUCUAGUCAUUCCAGAAAAGAAAAUGAAUAACACCGAUUCAAAAAAUAAUAUUGAUAGUGCUUUAAUAUUUUGUUUUAGUUCUGUACCAGUUCUGAGGCUUUUUGGAAGAGAAAGAGAGAGAAACUUUCUGGAGUUUGAAAGGAAAAUUUCUAGAGUCCUCUUCUUGAAACACACUAGACAUAAUAUUUUAAGAAAAAAACCGGCGGGGUGCAAUGGUAGAAUAAAUGAUAAAAUAGCGAGACAAACGAUGGUCGAUCGAACACUAUACGACGACAGUAGGACGUCGGAGGUCCUUUGGUCCUUCAGGGUGCACUUCACUGACGUAGAAGUUUCUCACUGAUUUUUGCUAUAAGGCCCACUUACCUGUCAGUAACGAAGGUAGCGGGACGAUCGACAGGACAAGCAAAACACCCUGGGGGAUCGAUGACAACACGCGCGUGCUUUAUCUUGGCCGGCCGACAUGUCACUUUCUUAUAUAGCGUGUCCCGCUGAAAGUUGCCUCCACCAGAUGAAGUGGAUUCGGUCCUCCUCAAGGUAGUGGGAGACCUCCUUGCUGUACUAUCGCGCGUUCCUUCUACAGGAUGCACCUGCUUGAAAAUCCUCGAGACGAAGCGCUUUUGAAGAAAGGAACUCAAUAAAAUCAGGUAUACUUGAAUAUAAAUGCUAACGGCUCAAGUUAAUUUGGAACUAUUGCUUUUGACACUCAAUUUCUGAUGUUAAGUGAAUCAAAAAUUUGUCAGCAUUUCAAUCUAAAUAUUCGGCUUAAUAUUAAAGAUGAAUAUUAUACACAAAUUUCCUUUUUUUCGAUAUACAAUAGCAUUGGAAAAUAAAUAGUAUUGAAAAUGGUAUAAAUGAAAAUCUCGCGAUUAAAUUAAUAAUUAAAUCUUUUACAUGUUCAAGUUUUAAAGAAAAUAAAAGCGCGCAAUAAAUAACGCCCGGCGAGGCUCACAAAGUCCAGAAUUUUGUUCCAUUAUUCCGGAAGACGUAAUUGCAGGUUUCAAUUGCCAGGGAAACAGGAUGUACUUCGAUGAAUCUCACAGCGUGCAGAAUGAAGAUCGCGCCGAUUAAAGGCAAAACGCGAAUGCACGGAAUGUAUAAUGUAGCGUGAAAAGUAAUUAAUUCGAUCUGUCGAUCAUAUUCCGGAAGAUCAUCCCGCGGAGAUCUGCCGGCAGAAAGCGAAUCAUAUACUUUCCAUUAUUCAACCAUCAGAUACUAUAUAGAUAGAAGAGUUUAUUACCUACGUCUGCUUCUCCCAGACGGAAUUGUAGGAUACAUACUUGAUAGUGCGAAAUCUUGUUGUGCGAAGGAUAUGUAUCCUGAAGGAUUUUGUACAUUGAAGAAGAAAGCAAAUUUAUAUUGAGUAAGGAACAUAUAAAAGUUCAGAAAAAAUAAAACGAUGUAAAACGACGUGUAAAAUGCUAGAUCUCAAAAGAUUGAUUUAACAGACGAUUCGAUUUCGAUUAUGCUUAUCGCGUUAUUCUAAAACAUUGAAACUCUCAUCCUUCUCUCUUUCGUUUCCGGGAGACGAACUCUGAGAAGUUGACAAGACAUCUUUAUUAAAAACGGUGAAAUCUCGCUCUGAGAUUUGUAAUGCUUCUUUUCUUUCUCCAUUUGCGAAAUGCUCGAGUGGAAUUCACUUCCCUAUUUUGAAAGUGUCGCGAUUCUUUCUCUCGGAAUAAUUGCAAAAUGAAAAUUUGCAAAAACUGUUCACAGAAAUGAGGAGAGGAAUUUAGAAAGAUCUCUGAGCACAACCAUAUACUUAUCUGUUAUAUAUUUCUAAUAUAUUUUUUCUAUUUAUAGUUUCUUCUUAGUCGUUAUCUUCGGUGUUUUGCAACAACGCAAUUCUGCUCUAACACGAUCUCACGUGACAUCUCCAUGCGUGAGGAACAUCUCCAAAGACGCAUAAAGUAUGGGAAGCUAAAAAUGAUUACUAGACGGAUGUUACUGGAUCGAUUGACGUAAUAAUCACGCAUUCGAGCGUGAAGAGAAUUCCAACAAGAUCAUAAAUUAAGCGGGCGAGUCGACAAUUAGCUAAGAAUAACAAAGAUAAUCACUUUCCGAUAUCUUGGAAUACUUGGACAAUGACAUAACUAGAACAUAAGAUGACGGAGCAAUAUGUAAAAUAUGGAGCAGUGAUCUACAAAGUAACGGCCAAUAACGUUUCCACGAAAUACCUGACAUUAUCAUUCCGCUUGAGAAACGAUCCCGAUAGCGAAGCGGACAUUCGGACUCCGUUGCACGCGGAGACGCGUACAAGAAACACUUUCACCGAGCGUUUGGGCCUGAUGGAGAAAGUUCCUUCAACCUGUGUUACACCCUUAUUAACCGGAAA